rnacentral:rRNA from 1 species
AGUGAACGCUGGCGGUAGGCCUAACACAUGCAAGUCGAACGGCAGCACAGAGGAGCUUGCUCCUUGGGUGGCGAGUGGCGGACGGGUGAGGAAUACAUCGGAAUCUACUCUGUCGUGGGGGAUAACGUAGGGAAACUUACGCUAAUACCGCAUACGACCUACGGGUGAAAGCAGGGGAUCUUCGGACCUUGCGCGAUUGAAUGAGCCGAUGUCGGAUUAGCUAGUUGGCGGGGUAAAGGCCCACCAAGGCGACGAUCCGUAGCUGGUCUGAGAGGAUGAUCAGCCACACUGGAACUGAGACACGGUCCAGACUCCUACGGGAGGCAGCAGUGGGGAAUAUUGGACAAUGGGCGCAAGCCUGAUCCAGCCAUACCGCGUGGGUGAAGAAGGCCUUCGGGUUGUAAAGCCCUUUUGUUGGGAAAGAAAUCCAGCCGGCUAAUACCUGGUUGGGAUGACGGUACCCAAAGAAUAAGCACCGGCUAACUUCGUGCCAGCAGCCGCGGUAAUACGAAGGGUGCAAGCGUUACUCGGAAUUACUGGGCGUAAAGCGUGCGUAAGUGGUUAUUUAAGUCCGUGGUGAAAGCCCUGGGCUCAACCUGGGAACUGCAGUGGAUACUGGAUGACUAGAAGUGGUUAGGGGAGCGGAAUUACAGGUGAGAAUUUAAUGCGAAACAAUGAGGAAGAGCUCUCUGGCUAAAUUGCUUUUGGGGAAAAUGGGGGGG